rnacentral:rRNA from 1 species
AAGACCUCAAAUCAGGUGGGACUACCUGCUGAACUUAAGCAUAUCAAUAAGCAGAGGAAAAGAGACUAACAAGGAUUCCCCUAGUAAUGGCGAAUGAAGAGGGAAAAGCCCAAAUUUGUAAUCUGGCUCUUUCAGAGUCCGAGUUGUAAUUUUAAGAACUGUUUUCAGUGCUGGACCAUGUACAAGUCUUCUGAAAAGAAGCAUCAUAGAAGGUGAUAAUCCUGUUCAUGAUAUGGACUACCAGUGCAAUAUGAUACAGUCUCUAAGAGUCGAGUUGUUUGGGAAUGCAGCUCAAAGUGGGUGGUAAAUUCCAUCUAAGGCUAAAUAUUGAUGAGAGACCGAUAGCAAACAAGUACCGUGAGGGAAAGAUGAAAAGAACUUUGGAAAGAGAGUUAACAGUACGUGAAAUUGUUAAAAGGGAAACAAUUGAAGUUAGACUUGUUAUUAUUAGUUCAACCUUUUUAAAGGGAGUAUUCUAAUGAUUAACAGACCAACAUCAAUUUUUGGGUGUUGGAGAAGGGUUUAAGGAAAUGUAGCAGUUUCUGACUGUGUUAUAUUCCUGAACUUUGAUACAAUGCUUAGGAUUGAGGAAGGCAGUAAGC